GACGAACGCUGGCGGCGUGCCUAACACAUGCAAGUCGAACGGAAAGGCCCUGCUUUUGUGGGGUGCUCGAGUGGCGAACGGGUGAGUAACACGUGAGUAACCUGCCCUUGACUUUGGGAUAACUUCAGGAAACUGGGGCUAAUACCGGAUAGGAGCUCCUGCUGCAUGGUGGGGGUUGGAAAGUUUCGGCGGUUGGGGAUGGACUCGCGGCUUAUCAGCUUGUUGGUGGGGUAGUGGCUUACCAAGGCUUUGACGGGUAGCCGGCCUGAGAGGGUGACCGGCCACAUUGGGCCUACGAUACGGCCCAGUCUCCUACGGGCGGCAGCAGUGGGGAAUAUUGCACAGUGGGCGGAAGCCUGAUGCAGCGACGCCGCGUGCGGGAUGACGGCCUUCGGGUUGUAAACCGCUUUCGCCUGUGACGAAGCGUGAGUGACGGUAAUGGGUAAAGAAGCACCGGCUAACUACGUG
rnacentral:rRNA from 1 species